AGUUUGAUCCUGGCUCAGGAUGAACGCUAGCUACAGGCUUAACACAUGCAAGUCGAGGGGCAGCAUGAACUUAGCUUGCUAAGUUUGAUGGCGACCGGCGCACGGGUGAGUAACACGUAUCCAACCUGCCGAUGACUCGGGGAUAGCCUUUCGAAAGAAAGAUUAAUACCCGAUGGCAUAGUUCUUCCGCAUGGUAGAACUAUUAAAGGAUUUCGGUCAUCGAUGGGGAUGCGUUCCAUUAGGUUGUUGGCGGGGUAACGGCCCACCAAGCCUUCGAUGGAUAGGGGUUCUGAGAGGAAGGUCCCCCACAUUGGAACUGAGACACGGUCCAAACUCCUACGGGAGGCAGCAGUGAGGAAUAUUGGUCAAUGGACGAGAGUCUGAACCAGCCAAGUAGCGUGAAGGAUGACUGCCCUAUGGGUUGUAAACUUCUUUUAUACGGGAAUAAAGUGAGGCACGUGUGCCUUUUUGUAUGUACCGUAUGAAUAAGGAUCGGCUAACUCCGUGCCAGCAGCCGCGGUAAUACGGAGGAUCCGAGCGUUAUCCGGAUUUAUUGGGUUUAAAGGGAGCGUAGGCGGACGCUUAAGUCAGUUGUGAAAGUUUGCGGCUCAACCGUAAAAUUGCAGUUGAUACUGGGUGUCUUGAGUACAGUAGAGGCAGGCGGAAUUCGUGGUGUAGCGGUGAAAUGCUUAGAUAUCACGAAGAACUCCGAUUGCGAAGGCAGCCUGCUGGACUGUAACUGACGCUGAUGCUCGAAAGUGUGGGUAUCAAACAGGAUUAGAUACCCUGGUAGUCCACACAGUAAACGAUGAAUACUCGCUGUUUGCGAUAUACAGUAAGCGGCCAAGCGAAAGCGUUAAGUAUUCCACCUGGGGAGUACGCCGGCAACGGUGAAACUCAAAGGAAUUGACGGGGGCCCGCACAAGCGGAGGAACAUGUGGUUUAAUUCGAUGAUACGCGAGGAACCUUACCCGGGCUUGAAUUGCAACUGAAUGAUGUGGAGACAUGUCAGCCGCAAGGCAGUUGUGAAGGUGCUGCAUGGUUGUCGUCAGCUCGUGCCGUGAGGUGUCGGCUUAAGUGCCAUAACGAGCGCAACCCUUAUCGAUAGUUACCAUCAGGUGAUGCUGGGGACUCUGUCGAGACUGCCGUCGUAAGAUGUGAGGAAGGUGG
rnacentral:rRNA from 1 species